UGGGGGAUAUUGCACAAUGGGCGAAAGCCUGAUGCAGCGACGCCGCGUGGGGGAUGAAGGCCUUCGGGUUGUAAACUUCUUUUGCUCUGAACAAGGCAUGCCUUUGGGGUGUGUUGAGUGUAGGGGUUGAUUAGCGCCGGCUAACUACGUGCCAGCAGCCGCGGUAAUACGUAGGGCGCGAGCGUUGUCCGGAAUUAUUGGGCGUAAAGGGCUUGUAGGUGGCUGGUUGCGUCUGUCGUGAAAGCUCAUGGCUUAACUGUGGGUUUGCGGCUGGAACCGGAUGGCUUGAGUGCAGUAGGGGAGGCUGGAAUUCCUGGUGUAGCGGUGGAAUGCGCAGAUAUCAGGAGGAAUACCGGUGGCGAAGGCUGGUCUAUGGGCUGUAACUAACACUGAGGAGCGAAAGCGUGGGGAGCGAACAGG
rnacentral:rRNA from 1 species